AUUGAACGCUGGCGGCAUGCCUUACACAUGCAAGUCGAACGGCAGCACGGGUGCUUGCACCUGGUGGCGAGUGGCGAACGGGUGAGUAAUACAUCGGAACAUGUCCUGUAGUGGGGGAUAGCCCGGCGAUAGCCGGAUUAAUACCGCAUACGAUCUACGGAUGAAAGCGGGGGCCCUUCGGGCCUCGCGCCCUCGGGUUGGCCGAUGGCUGAUUAGCUAGUUGGUGGGGUAAAGGCCUACCAAGGCGACGAUCAGUAGCUGGUCUGAGAGGACGACCAGCCACACUGGGACUUAGACACGGCCCAGACUCCUAAGGGAGGCAGCAGUGGGGAAUUUUGGACAAUGGUCGAAGGCCUGAUCCAGCAAUGCCGCGUGUGUGAAGAAGGCCUUCGGGUGGUAAAGCACUUUUGUCCGGAAAGAAAUCCUUGGCCCUAAUACGGUCGGGGGAUGACGGUACCGGAAGAGUAAGCACCGGCUAACUACGUG
rnacentral:rRNA from 1 species